GACGAACGCUGGCGGCGUGCUUAACACAUGCAAGUCGAACGGAAAGGCCCUGCUUUUGUGGGGUGCUCGAGUGGCGAACGGGUGAGUAACACGUGAGUAACCUGUCCUUGACUUUGGGAUAACUUUAGGAAACAGGGGCUAAUACCGGAUAGGAGCUCCUGCUGCACGGUGGGGGUUGGAAAGUUUCGGCGGUUGGGGAUGGACUCGCGGCUUAUCAGCUUGUUGGUGGGGUAGUGGCUUACCAAGGUUUUGACGGGUAGUCGGCCUGGGAGGGGGACCGGCCACAUUAGGACUAAGAUACGGCCCAGACUCCUACGGGAGGCAGCAGUGGGGAAUAUGGCACAAUAGGCGGAAGCCUGAUACAGCAACGCCGCGUGCGGAAUGACGGCCUACGGGUUGUAAACCGCUUUCGCCUGAGACGAGGCGUGAGUGACGGUAAUGGAUAAAGAAGCACCGGCUAACUACGUG
rnacentral:rRNA from 1 species